rnacentral:miRNA from 1 species
AACAAACAAACAAACAAAAAAACUUCACCCUCCCUGAUUCCACUAUCUUUGAAUCCAUAUGUCUGGGGUGGAAUCCAAGAAUCUGCAUUUUUACUAAAUUCUCCCAGAUGAUGCUGAUUC